ACCAGUUGAUCCUACCAAUAGUCAUAUACGUGUCUCAAAGAUUAAACCAUGCAUCUGUAAGUAUGAACUAAUUCAGACUAUGAAACUAUGAAUGGCUCAUUAAAUUAGUUAUAGUUUGUUUGAUGGUAUCUACUACUCAGAUAACCACAGUAAUUCUAGAGCUAAUACAUGCAACCAAUCCCAACUUUUGGAAGGGAUGCAUUUAUUAGAUAAAAGGUCAAUGUGGGCUUUGCCUAUUGCUCUGAUGAUUCAUGAUAACUCGACAAAUCGCACAACCUUUGUGCCAGCGAUGCAUCAUUCAAAUUCUACCAUAUCAACUUUCGAUGGUAAGAUAGUGACCUACUAUGGUGGUGAUGGGUGACAGAGAAUUAGGGUUCAAUUCUAGAGAAAGAGCCUAAGAAAUGGCUAUCACAUCCAAUGAAGGUAGUAGGCAUGCAAAUUACCCAAUCCUGUCAUAGGGAGGUAGUGACAAUAAAUAACAGUACCAUACUUUAUGAGUUUGGUAAUUGGAAUGAGUACAAUAUAAAUCCCUUAAUGAGUAUCCAUUAGAGGGCAACUCUGGUGCUAGUAACUGUAGUAGUUCUAGCUCCAAUAAUGUAUGUUUAAGUUAUUGUAGUUAAAAAGCUCAUGGUUGGAACUAAGGUUGGGUCAUCCGAUCUACCUUGCAAUAAGCACUGGUCUACUCGUCCCUACUACCAGUGAUGCACUCCUGACCUUAAUUACUAGGUGGUUCUUAUGGUGCUAUUACUUUGAAGAAAUUAGAGUGCUCAAAGCAUGCCUACACUUGUAUACAUUAGCAUAGGAUAACAUCAUAGGAUUUCAAUCCUAUUAUCUUGGCCUUCGAGAUCAGAGUAAUGAUUAACAAGGAUAGUCGGAGGUAUUCGUAUUUCAUAGUCAAAGGUGAAAUUCUUGGAUUUAUGAAAGAUGAACAACUGCAAAAGCAUUUGUCAAAAAUGUUUUCAUUAAACAAGAAUGAAAGUUUGGGGCUAAAAAAUGAUCAAAUAUCAUCCUAGUCUCAACCAUAAACAAUGCCGACCAAGGAUCAACAGAUGUUACUUUUAGGACUCCACCGACACCUUAUGAGAAAUCAAAGUCUUUGAGUUCUAAGGGGAGUAUGGUCGCAAGGUUGAAACUUAAAGGAAUUGAUGAAAGAGCACCACCAAAAGUGGGUCAUGUGGCUUAAUUUGACUUAACAUGAGGAAACUUACCAGGUCCAGACAUAGUAAGGAUUGACAAAUUGAGAGCUCUUUCUUGAUUCUAUAGAUGGUGGUGCAUGGUUGUUCUUAGUUGGUGGAGUGAUUUGUCUGGUUAAUUCUUUAAUGAAUGAGACCUCAGCCUACUAACUAGCUACGUGAAGGUGAUCCUUCAUGGCUAGCUUCUUAGAGGGAUUAUGGCCACUUAGGCUAAGAAAUUUUAAGGCAAUAACACAUUUGUGAUGCCCUUAGAUGUUUUGGGUCACAUGUGUACUACACCAAUGUAUUCAAUGAGUCUAUAGCCUUGGCCAAUAGGCCCAAGUAAUCUUUAAAAUUUCAUUGUGAUGGAGAUAGAUCAUUGCAAUUGUUGGUCUUCAAUAAGGAAUUCUUAGUAAGCGUGAGUCAUUAGCUCGUGUUGACUACGUCCCUACCCUUUGUACACACUGCCUAUCACUUCUACUAAUUGAAUGGCUUAGUGAAGUGUUUAGAUCAUGAUGAUGUGGAUGGUUUUUACCUAUGACAUUGCAAGAAAUCCACUGAACCUUAUCAUUUAGAGGAAGGAAAAGUCAUAACAAGGUUUCUGUAGGUGAACCUGCAAAAG
rnacentral:rRNA from 1 species